rnacentral:rRNA from 1 species
GGGUUGUGAGGUUAAGCGACUAAGCGUACACGGUGGAUGCCCUGGCAGUCAGAGGCGAUGAAGGACGUGCUAAUCUGCGAUAAGCGUCGGUAAGGUGAUAUGAACCGUUAUAACCGGCGAUUUCCGAAUGGGGAAACCCAGUGUGUUUCGACACACUAUCAUUAACUGAAUCCAUAGGUUAAUGAGGCGAACCGGGGGAACUGAAACAUCUAAGUACCCCGAGGAAAAGAAAUCAACCGAGAUUCCCCCAGUAGCGGCGAGCGAACGGGGAGCAGCCCAGAGCCUGAAUCAGUGUGUGUGUUAGUGGAAGCGUCUGGAAAGGCGCGCGAUACAGGGUGACAGCCCCGUACACAAAAAUGCACAUGCUGUGAGCUCGAUGAGUAGGGCGGGACACGUGGUAUCCUGUCUGAAUAUGGGGGGACCAUCCUCCAAGGCUAAAUACUCCUGACUGACCGAUAGUGAACCAGUACCGUGAGGGAAAGGCGAAAAGAACCCCGGCGAGGGGAGUGAAAAAGAACCUGAAACCGUGUACGUACAAGCAGUGGGAGCACGCUUAGGCGUGUGACUGCGUACCUUUUGUAUAAUGGGUCAGCGACUUAUAUUCUGUAGCAAGGUUAACCGAAUAGGGGAGCCGAAGGGAAACCGAGUCUUAACUGGGCGUUAAGUUGCAGGGUAUAGACCCGAAACCCGGUGAUCUAGCCAUGGGCAGGUUGAAGGUUGGGUAACACUAACUGGAGGACCGAACCGACUAAUGUUGAAAAAUUAGCGGAUGACUUGUGGCUGGGGGUGAAAGGCCAAUCAAACCGGGAGAUAGCUGGUUCUCCCCGAAAGCUAUUUAGGUAGCGCCUCGUGAAUUCAUCUCCGGGGGUAGAGCACUGUUUCGGCAAGGGGGUCAUCCCGACUUACCAACCCGAUGCAAACUGCGAAUACCGGAGAAUGUUAUCACGGGAGACACACGGCGGGUGCUAACGUCCGUCGUGAAGAGGGAAACAACCCAGACCGCCAGCUAAGGUCCCAAAGUCAUGGUUAAGUGGGAAACGAUGUGGGAAGGCCCAGACAGCCAGGAUGUUGGCUUAGAAGCAGCCAUCAUUUAAAGAAAGCGUAAUAGCUCACUGGUCGAGUCGGCCUGCGCGGAAGAUGUAACGGGGCUAAACCAUGCACCGAAGCUGCGGCAGCGACGCUGAUGCGUUGUUGGGUAGGGGAGCGUUCUGUAAGCCUGCGAAGGUGUGCUGUGAGGCAUGCUGGAGGUAUCAGAAGUGCGAAUGCUGACAUAAGUAACGAUAAAGCGGGUGAAAAGCCCGCUCGCCGGAAGACCAAGGGUUCCUGUCCAACGUUAAUCGGGGCAGGGUGAGUCGACCCCUAAGGCGAGGCCGAAAGGCGUAGUCGAUGGGAAACAGGUUAAUAUUCCUGUACUUGGUGUUACUGCGAAGGGGGGACGGAGAAGGCUAUGUUGGCCGGGCGACGGUUGUCCCGGUUUAAGCGUGUAGGCUGGUUUUCCAGGCAAAUCCGGAAAAUCAAGGCUGAGGCGUGAUGACGAGGCACUACGGUGCUGAAGCAACAAAUGCCCUGCUUCCAGGAAAAGCCUCUAAGCAUCAGGUAACAUCAAAUCGUACCCCAAACCGACACAGGUGGUCAGGUAGAGAAUACCAAGGCGCUUGAGAGAACUCGGGUGAAGGAACUAGGCAAAAUGGUGCCGUAACUUCGGGAGAAGGCACGCUGAUAUGUAGGUGAGGUCCCUCGCGGAUGGAGCUGAAAUCAGUCGAAGAUACCAGCUGGCUGCAACUGUUUAUUAAAAACACAGCACUGUGCAAACACGAAAGUGGACGUAUACGGUGUGACGCCUGCCCGGUGCCGGAAGGUUAAUUGAUGGGGUUAGCGCAAGCGAAGCUCUUGAUCGAAGCCCCGGUAAACGGCGGCCGUAACUAUAACGGUCCUAAGGUAGCGAAAUUCCUUGUCGGGUAAGUUCCGACCUGCACGAAUGGCGUAAUGAUGGCCAGGCUGUCUCCACCCGAGACUCAGUGAAAUUGAACUCGCUGUGAAGAUGCAGUGUACCCGCGGCAAGACGGAAAGACCCCGUGAACCUUUACUAUAGCUUGACACUGAACAUUGAGCCUUGAUGUGUAGGAUAGGUGGGAGGCUUGGAAGUGUGGACGCCAGUCUGCAUGGAGCCGACCUUGAAAUACCACCCUUUAAUGUUUGAUGUUCUAACGUUGACCCGUAAUCCGGGUUGCGGACAGUGUCUGGUGGGUAGUUUGACUGGGGCGGUCUCCUCCUAAAGAGUAACGGAGGAGCACGAAGGUUGGCUAAUCCUGGUCGGACAUCAGGAGGUUAGUGCAAUGGCAUAAGCCAGCUUGACUGCGAGCGUGACGGCGCGAGCAGGUGCGAAAGCAGGUCAUAGUGAUCCGGUGGUUCUGAAUGGAAGGGCCAUCGCUCAACGGAUAAAAGGUACUCCGGGGAUAACAGGCUGAUACCGCCCAAGAGUUCAUAUCGACGGCGGUGUUUGGCACCUCGAUGUCGGCUCAUCACAUCCUGGGGCUGAAGUAGGUCCCAAGGGUAUGGCUGUUCGCCAUUUAAAGUGGUACGCGAGCUGGGUUUAGAACGUCGUGAGACAGUUCGGUCCCUAUCUGCCGUGGGCGCUGGAGAACUGAGGGGGGCUGCUCCUAGUACGAGAGGACCGGAGUGGACGCAUCACUGGUGUUCGGGUUGUCAUGCCAAUGGCACUGCCCGGUAGCUAAAUGCGGAAGAGAUAAGUGCUGAAAGCAUCUAAGCACGAAACUUGCCCCGAGAUGAGUUCUCCCUGACUCCUUGAGAGUCCUGAAGGAACGUUGAAGACGACGACGUUGAUAGGCCGGGUGUGUAAGCGCAGCGAUGCGUUGAGCUAACCGGUACUAAUGAACCGUGAGGCUUAACCUUACAACGCCGAAG